rnacentral:rRNA from 1 species
AUGGUAUCCCCUUAUAUAGCAAAUGGCAUAUAUGUAAACCCAUAUGCGACAAUUUCGCCACAAAAAGGGAGUUACCUUAGGCCAUGUACGGAAGAUGAACUAACCUCAUAUUGUGAGUCCUUGACCUACAUCCCAAAGGACUCCCAUAUUGCAAGGUCUAUGGGAAUCCUCAGGAUUGAGGAUAUACUAGGUUUUCUCAUGAUCACAAUUUUCCAUAUUUUGUGGAUUGAAGAUUUUCCUAUUUACCGAUAUCUUCAUGGUGAACUUGCUAAGAGGCCAUUCCUACAUAUGCAGAAGAGCCUAUGCUUGAGCAAAACAACAAUCAAUGAAGUAAAAUUAUAUCCCAAGGAUACAUUCUCUUCUCUUGACUUGUGCAUCAUCUUAAUCAAGGCACAACCAUGCAACUUGCACUGUAUCAAUUACCGCACGGUGAACGAAAUACAUAAUUUCGUUGUGCUCACCAUAGACUUUGUCAUCAAGUCUCCUUGGAGCAAGUUGACAGCCAACAACAACAAUAUGGUGACAAUACUCACCAGGGACACCUUCGAGAACAUCAAACCACCUACAAGAUGUCAUGACCAUAUAGGAGGGUGUGGUGGAAACAUUGGCCGUGAUAAAGGAGCAACGGAUGGCAUUGUGUGA